GACGUAGGGCGCGAGCGUUGUCCGGAUUUAUUGGGCGUAAAGAGCUCGUAGGCGGCUCAUUGCGUCAAGCGUGAAAACCAGCAGCUCAACUGUUGGCUUGCGGUUGAUACGGGUGGGCUGGAGUUCGGUAGGGGAGACUGGAAUUCCUGGUGUAGCGGUGAAAUGCGCAGAUAUCAGGAGGAACACCGGUGGCGAAGGCGGGUCUCUGGGCCGAUACUGACGCUGAGGAGCGAAAGCGUGGGGAGCGAACAGG
rnacentral:rRNA from 1 species